UGCCACUGACACCUCUCCCUCCCUCCUGUUAUCCAAUCUCGUCUGAAUCCUUCUCGACCCUUACCAAUCUCUCUCUCUCUCUCUCUCUCUAAAUUCCCAGUCUGAUAAUGUGAUUGCAAUCGCCGCGAUCUAAGUCACUGUUUCUAAAUUCGUCGGGGUUUGAUCGGACUAGGAGUUUGUGACAUCGCGGUGGCGACGGAGGAGGAGGCUAGGUUAAGGUUUGAGUUUUCGGGAGCUAUCUGCUCGAAAUCGGUGACAAUGGCGCCGAGGCUCGGCUCCGGCGACGCAUCCAGCUUCAAGUUCCUUCUCUUUCUGGUCGAGAAUUACCACCUCAUCGCCGUGCUUGUCCACUUGUUCGUUAACCUCGCCUGGUGAGAGAAAUGAAUGGCGGUGGAGAAGGGCUCGCGGCUUCGGCGACGUCUGGAGCGGCGAUGGCGCCACUCGACUGGAUGUUUUCUCAAGUUUCUGGAGAACAGACCGCCGACGAGGAAGUUCAGGAAGGUACUCUUCUCGAUUCUUUCCUUUCGUUUUCGGUUGAAUUAGGGAUUUUACUGUUACUUGUCAUUCUCAUUCCGAUUUUCACUUAUUGGAUGAUUAGCUUUCAAUUGAUAUUAUGUGAGAUAUUCAUGUCUUGAAUCAGAAUUGUCAUAUUCCAAUGAAAUUAAGAUGAAUUAAAGUGGGGUUGAGCUGGAUUGAUUAUAGACGGAAGCACUUAAGCUUUAGUCUGCAGGGUUUAUCAUAUAUAUAGUUUAGUUAAUGGUUGUUUGCUCUGUGGCUAAUCUUCGAUGAAACAUUUGGAGUUAUCUACUUGGUGUGUUUUUCGAGCACUGUAUUGGUGCGCUUGAAGUAUAUCGGGUUUGAUUCUAAGAAUUGUUGUAGACAAAUUUCUGUAAAUUGGGUGGUGGUCAUCAGAGUUAUAAGGGCGCCAGAGUUCCGAAAAUACUCAAGACCUUUUUCUCUUUUUAGUUUUUCUUUCUCAUUUCGUUAUGUUUUCUCCAUGGUUAUGAAUCAUGAUAAGAAGGAUAGGGUUUUGAUGCAAUAUUGAUUUUUCAAGGUUCUGUUUGCUCAAGUGUAUGAUGAAUCUAUCCUUCAUUCUUUUAUUAGAACAAUUGAUCGUCAUAAACGAUUGACUAUAGCUAUUGAUGCUACAUUUGGGAUGGAGUAUCUGCAUGGAAAAAAUAUAGUACAUCUUGAUUUGGAGUGUGAAAAUCUGUUGGUAAAUAUGAGAGAUCCACAGCGCCUGUAUGCAAGAUUGGUGAUUUGGGAUUGUAAAUAAAAGUCAAACAACAGACAUUAAUGUCUGGAGCUGUUCAUGGAACUUUGCCUUGGAUGGCACCUGAGCUUUGAAUGGGAAAAGUCAUAUAAUGACAGUGAAGGUAAUACUGAUGCCACCUAUAUACAUAUGUUGAAUUUUCGGGCUCUUAUGAUUAUUGACUCUUCAAAUUGGUGACUAGCUUCCGAGUUGUCAUGUGUUGUUAUUUUGAUCUUGUAGAUUGAUGUUUACUCAUUUAGGAUUGUUAUGUGGGAAUUGCUUACUGGCGAUGAACCCUAUACAUAUAUGCAUUGUGCUUCUAUAAUUGGUAAGAACCAAUGUUUUGGAGGCUUAUGUUCUGUUUGUGUAUUGUGAAUGAUCCCUUCCAUUUUACAUCUGGUAGGUUAUUUGUAUAGGUUACUGUUAUCAAUUUUUUAAUAUAUGCGCUCCAAUCUUAGAGAAGCUUUACGUUGUGUGCAGAUACAAAUUUGAUUUAAAUUUCAUUUCUUGCUUGGAGUUGUCGUCACUAUUGUCUACUUCAUAUUUGUGUGUGUCAAAUUAUCUUUAUGAAGUGUCAAAUAUGUGGUUCUUACCGGCAAUGCUUCAGGAUACCCAAUAGGAGCUAUGAUGACACGACAGCAAGGUUUUUCUUAUUUUGGUUGGGGACUAUGGUACUCUGAUAUUGAAGCCCAGCUUUCCUUUUGGUUGGAGAACACAUGUUGGACCAAUUUGAUGAUGAUGAUUGAUGAGUUCUUUUGGACCAAUUUGUAUGAUAUAGUUCUUUGUGCAAUCUGUAUGAUAUAAUUGAUGAGUGUUGGUUGUAAUACUGCAAACAUUAUGUUCUCACAUACAAGCAAAGAAAGACUUGCUAUUUCAUGA